CGCCGCGUGAGUGAAGAAGGUUUUCGGAUCGUAAAACUCUGUUGUAAGGGAAGAACACGUACGAGAGUAACUGCUCGUACCUUGACGGUACCUUAUUAGAAAGCCACGGCUAACUACGUGCCAGCAGCCGCGGUAAUACGUAGGUGGCAAGCGUUGUCCGGAAUUAUUGGGCGUAAAGCGCGCGCAGGCGGUUCUUUAAGUCUGAUGUGAAAGCCCACGGCUCAACCGUGGAGGGUCAUUGGAAACUGGAGAACUUGAGUACAGAAGAGGAAAGCGGAAUUCCAUGUGUAGCGGUGAAAUGCGUAGAGAUGUGGAGGAACACCAGUGGCGAAGGCGGCUUUCUGGUCUGUAACUGACGCUGAGGCGCGAAAGCGUGGGGAGCAAACAGGAUUAGAUACCCUGGUAGUCCACGCCGUAAACGAUGA
rnacentral:rRNA from 1 species